GAGAGAGAGGGGUCCACGGAGAGGUCCACUGUGGACCUCUGUCAUGCGGUCCACGAGGUGGUGGACCUCAUGCACCGCGUGAAGCAACUCUCCAAACGCCGCGAUUUUUCAGUCGGAAGUUUUCAUUUUCGCUCGAAGUGAGCGGAGAACGAAAACUCCCCGUUUUCGUCGAAUAUGUAAAAAAAGUUUUCCAAAAUUUUUUUUUUAUGCGUCACCAAACGGCAGAAAAUAACUUUUCAACAGAAAUUUUUUUUUCCGGGUUGUUUUACAAGUAUCCAAAUACACCUUUAGUGAAUCUUUGGUUUAAUUACACUAAUAGCUAGCCCUUGGACAUUUGCUAAAGUCUCACUUUUGCCCUAUUCUUUAAUGCAGACUUAAUUAAUGCUCCUUGAACUUCUAAUAAUGUCCCGAAUUGGCCCGUUUUCAUUAUCUAAUGUUAAGUUUGUUGACAGAAUGAUGAUGUAUAAACAUUAAGGAGAUGUUUGAUUUUUUCGAAAAGUAUUUCAGUAAAUAGUUUUCUGGCUGGGAUAAUAUUUUUCAUCCGUUUUUAAAAUGAGUUUUACUCUCAAAAUUUUUCGUAACUUGUAAGUUUUAACUGGUAACCUUAGUGCGCGCAUUGAUUUAAAAAUGGCUUAUCCAGCAUUCAAAUUGUAUUUUUGCCAGUAAAAUCAGUGUCAGAUGACAAAAUGGAUCAAUUUAAUUAUAGAAGUUUAGAAAGCAAAGUGAAACUUUUCUUUGAGUUCAAAAGCUACUGUUACUAUUAACCUGUUUAUAUUUUUUUUAAAGAGAAAUUCUAAAUAUAUAAUUCAGAAAGUUUCAUAGGAUCAGGGCAUAUAUGGAAAACUCUUUUUGGGUUUUAACAAUAAAAAAUAUAUAUAUAUUGGGCCUUUUUUGUAUUUGACCCCCUCAAAAAAAAAAUUUCACAAAUAAUUUUGGCCCUAUCCCCGUCACGCAGACAAGUUGAACACGGUGAACCAUUCACCGUGUUCAAAUAUGAUGAAUGGUUCACUGUGUUCCAUACUUAUAUUCUUUCCAUUCAAUACUUAUAUUUUUUCACAAUACAUAUAUUUUUCUCAGACAUAGUAAAUCAUUUAUCAUAUUUAUACACAAUAAAUGGAUUAUUGUCACGCCCCGAACCCGAUCCUAUUUGGCCGGUUCGAGAGCGUGAUACAGACGCCGAGCGGACAGAGCCUCCCUUAUCCGCCCAAGGCCCAACAACAGGUACAGAUAGAGUGUAGACAUUGCAUAAGCGGAAGUAUACACAAUGGCUUGCACGAGGGUAAGCAAUAGCCAAGAGUGAAAGUAAACAACAACACUUAAGGAAUCGAUUACAUUUUUCAUCAUUUCUUUUCUUUUACAUCACAAGAUCUCAAAUAUCAUUCUUGCAUUUAAAUAUAAAGGUCUUUCACAACAUACAUGUUCUUUUCUUUAACAACUAAAUCAUCAAGUACAAAAGAUGACAUAUAUCAAAAGGGGUAUGCAACUAAAUAGAUAAAUGUCUCGGGCGGUCUCUACCUAGGACGCGAUGCCCUUACCGCGAUCGUCUGCCGGCUCGCUGGGUCCCGGCUCUGUGGAAAUAGGGGUGUGAGAACUACAACAAAGUUCCCAGUGGGUUCGGCAACCAACCACGCCGACUAUCCUACUAGGUCUAAUCAGGCAUAAUAGAAUAAAGGAAAGUAAGUAACCAACUAGCAAAUGCACUAAUAUGCCUGAACAAUAUAAAAUGAUAUGCACAAUAUAAUACUCAUGAUGAAUGCAAGGUCAUAGUGUCAAUACCCAAUCUCUUGGCUAACCCGUAGGUUUCGCCCUCAACAAACUCACCAACUCAAAAUCCCAAUAAUCGGGGAGAUACCCGCUACAACCCGAUGGGACCGCCCUCUGGGGAGAUACUCGCUACAACCCAGUGAUGUCGACUCCGGAGCACAUCGCCCGAGGGGGAGCUACCACAACCUCGAGCAAGGACUAAUGUGAGUACGAUCAAAUCCUACAUUUGAGGAUUCCAAAUUCAAUCCAUUCCUUAACUUUAAGAAAGACUAUGCUCAAAUGACUCUUAACACUAAGGUUGAAUGUCAUAAUAUCUCGGUCGUUCUUGUUCUUGCAUUCUUUUCUAUCACCAAUGUCAUAUACACUAUCAAGUUCUUGUACUCAUACCACACUUGUUUACUAAGUGUUCUAGACUCAUCAAUGUCACUUGCUAAAUCUAUGUCAAAGUGUCACUUUUCGUUUACUAACCCUUCUAGGUUCUUGUCACAAUCAUGCAUACAUAGGGAUCAUCAUUCUCACAUUCUUACAUACAUUUAACAUGCAUUUGAGUUUACAUUAGACUAUAUAAAAGAACUCACAAUUAAC
rnacentral:lncRNA from 1 species